CGAAAGCCUGACGGAGCAAUACCGCGUGAGGGAGGAAGGCCUUUGGGUUGUAAACCUCUUUUCUCAAGGAAGAAGUUCUGACGGUACUUGAGGAAUCAGCAUCGGCUAACUCCGUGCCAGCAGCCGCGGUAAUACGGAGGAUGCAAGCGUUAUCCGGAAUUAUUGGGCGUAAAGCGUCCGCAGGCGGUUUCACAAGUCUGCUGUCAAAGACUGGAGCUUAACUCCGGGCAGGCGGUGGAAACUGUGAAACUAGGGUACGGUAGGGGUAGAGGGAAUUGCCAGUGUGGCGGUGAAAUGCGUAGAGAUUGGGAAGAACACCAGUGGCGAAGGCGCUCUACUGGGCCGUAACUGACGCUCAGGGACGAAAGCUAGGGGAGCG
rnacentral:rRNA from 1 species